GUGGGGAAUUUUCCGCAAUGGGCGAAAGCCUGACGGAGCAAUACCGCGUGAGGGAUGACAGCCUUUGGGUUGUAAACCUCUUUUAUCAAGGAGGAAGUUCUGACGUGUACUUGAUGAAUAAGCAUCGGCUAACUCCGUGCCAGCAGCCGCGGUAAGACGGAGGAUGCAAGUGUUAUCCGGAAUCACUGGGCGUAAAGCGUCUGUAGGUGGUUUAAAAAGUCUGCUGUUAAAAAUUGAAGCUUAACUUCAAAGAUGCCGUAGAAACUUUUAAACUUGAGUAUGGUAGGGGUAGAGGGAAUUUCCAGUGGAGCGGUGAAAUGCGUAGAUCUUGGAAAGACCACCAAUGGCGAAGGCACUCUACUGGGCCAUUACUGACACUGAGAGACGAAAGCUAGGGGAGCAAAUGGG
rnacentral:rRNA from 1 species